rnacentral:tRNA from 1 species
GGGCAUGUAGUUCAGUGGCAGGGUGCAUGCUUUGCACGGAUGAAGUCCUAGGUUCAAUCCCUGGCAUCUCUA